rnacentral:rRNA from 1 species
CAAGCGUUGGUAGUAAUACCGGCGCCUAGACCGGCAAACGGGUGAGGAACACGUACACAACCACCCUUUUAGUGGAGCAUAACCCGGGGAAACCUGGACUAAUACUCCGUAACAUGUUGGAAAGGCAUCUUUCUGAUAUUAUAGCAGCAAUGCGCUAAAAGACGGGUGUGCGCAUGAUUAGGUAGUUGGCGGGGUAACGGCCCACCAAGCCUACGAUCAUUAACUGGUGUGAGAGCACGACCAGUCACACGGGCACUGAGACACGGGCCCGACUCCUACGGGAGGCAGCAGUAAGGAAUAUUGGUCAAUGGAGGAAACUCUGAACCAGCCAUGCCGCGUGGAGGAUGAAGGUCCUCUGGAUUGUAAACUUCUUUUAUACGGGACGAAAAAACGAUUUUCUAAUCGGACUGACGGUACCGUAUGAAUAAGCACCGGCUAACUCCGUGCCAGCAGCCGCGGUAAUACGGAGGGUGCAAGCGUUAUCCGGAUUCACU